rnacentral:rRNA from 1 species
GAAAACCACGGUGGUACAGGAUGGGCCCGCGUCUGAUUAGUUAGUUGGCAGGGUAACGGCCUACCAAGACAACGAUCAGUAGCCGGCUUGAGAGAGUGGACGGCCACAUUGGGACUGAGACACGGCCCAGACUCCUGCGGGAGGCAGCAGUGGGGAAUAUUGCACAAUGGGGGGAACCCUGAUGCAGCAAUGCCGCGUGGGUGAAGAAGCACUCCGGUGCGUAAAGCCCUGUCAGCAGGGAAGAAAAUGACAGUACCUGACCAAGAAGCCCCGGCUAACUACGUGCCAGCAGCCGCGGUAAUACGUAGGGGGCAAGCGUUAUCCGGAUUUACUGGGUGUAAAGGGAGCGCCGGCGGCGUGGCAAGUCAGAUGUGAAAACCCGGGGCCCAACCCCGGGAGUGCAUUUGAAACUGCCAUGCUGGAGUGCCGGAGAGGUAAGCGGAAUUCCUAGUGUAGCGGUGAAAUGCGUAGAUAUUAGGAGGAACACCAGUGGCGGAGGCGGCUUACUGGACGGUAACUGACGCUGAGGCUCGAAAGCGUGGGGAGCAAACAGGAUUAGAUACCCUGGUAGUCCCCGCCGUAAACGAUGAAUACUAGGUACAGGGGCACAAAAGUGCUUCU